rnacentral:rRNA from 1 species
UACGAAGGGGGCUAGCGUUGUUCGGCCUCACUGGGCGUAAAGCGCACGUAGGCGGCGCGUUAAGUCAGGGGUGAAAUCCUGGAGCUCAACUCCAGAACUGCCUUUGAUACUGGCGUGCUCGAGUGUGGGAGAGGUUGGUGGAACUCCGAGUGUAGAGGUGAAAUUCGUAGAUAUUCGGAAGAACACCAGUGGCGAAGGCGGCCAACUGGCCCAUUACUGACGCUGAGGUGCGAAAGCGUGGGGAGCAAAUAGG